rnacentral:lncRNA from 1 species
CCCCACGUGACUGGAGCCAACUUCCUGCAGCUCUGGCGCUGGGGAGAGGUGGUCCUCGGGCCUGCUCCCCGCUGAUUGACAGGGAGUGUCUUUGUUCUCCCGCCCACACUGUGAGGUCAAACGGCUCUCCACGUGCGAAAAUACAGAGACAGUCCCCCUCUUCCAGGCCCCUGCUGGCUUAACAGAUGAACAAGACAUGGAUCCUGUCAUUGGAGAUGUCAUGAUUACCAGGAAAAGUGGCCAUGGAUUGGAUGCUGGAGAUUCUGCCAGAGCUGCUGCAGAAGAAUCAGCUGUGUCUGCCCGUGUGUUUACCGAAACAGCGCAUGCCCCUGCAUAUAUAUAUGGCUGCUGCAGCACGUUGCUCGCUUCUAGCUCUGAGACGCCUGGAAGUCAUCCUCUGGGGAGAACCAGAACAUUACCUGCCUGUGCCCUAGCUGCUGAGACACAGAAAUCGAAUUAAGGCUGAGCAUGGUGGCUCACGCCUGAAGCCCCAGCACCCUGAGAGGCUGAGGUAGGUGGAUUGCCUGAACCCAGGAAUUUGAAACCAGCCUGGGCAACAUGGCGAAACCCCAUCUCUACAAAAAAUACAAAGUUAGGCAGGUGGUAUGCUCCUGUAGUCCCAGCUACUUGGGAGGCUGAGGUGGGAGGAUCUCUUGAGCCCAGGAGGUCAAGGCUGCAGUGAGCCAAGAUUGUGUGACUGCAUUAUAGCCUGGACAACAGAGUGAGACCCUGUCUCAAAAAAAAAAAAAAAAUGGUAUUUAGCUUUCCAGAAUCUUUAGUUCAGAGCUUAGCUAGAAAGCAAUUGGAGUGGACAUUGGGAGAGCCAGCAUCAAGCUGUUGACUGGAUGCCCCGUUCCCCUUGUGGAUGCCCAUGACUACAUGUAAGGCAGCCUUUUACAGGGGGGUGGGCACAGAAAAUGAAAGCUAUUGAGGCUGGUCAGCCAGCUCUGGCUCCACAUAGGACAGACAGCACCCCAUGGGAACCCCAGCUCUGUGAAGUCUACCCCAGCCACUGUGUGGAGUCCAAAGACUUUUUCCAGCUUUCAGGAAGCCUUAACUCAGACACAGUGUGGGCUCACCGUAACCACCACAGAAGAAUGGCAGAAGUGACCUGUGGUUUAAAU